GAUGAACGCUAGCGGCAGGCCUAAUACAUGCAAGUCGAACGGUGUCUUCGGACAUAGUGGCGCACGGGUGCGUAACACGUAUGCAACCUACCUUACAUUGGGGGAUAGCCUUUCGAAAGGGAGAUUAAUACCGCAUAAGCCAGUAGCUGGGCAUCCAGCAGCUGUUAAAGAUUUAUCGAUGUAAGCUGGGCAUGCGUCCAAUUAGCUAGUUGGUGAGGUAACGGCUCACCAAGGCAAUGAUUGGUAGGGGAACUGAGAGGUCAAUCCCCCACACUGGCACUGAGAUACGGCCCAGACUCCUACGGGAGGCAGCAGUGGGGAAUUUUGGACAAUGGGGGCAACCCUGAUCCAGCCAUGCCGCGUGAGUGAAGAAGGCCUUCGGGUUGUAAAGCUCUUUCGGCGGGGAAGAAAUCGCACUGGAUAAUACCUGGUGUGGAUGACGGUACCCGAAUAAGAAGCACCGGCUAACUACGUGCCAGCCGCCGCCGUAACAC
rnacentral:rRNA from 1 species